CAUAGGUGCUCCCCGAGCAGCGGAAUAAAGCUUGGGGAUAUGGAUUCAUUUUUCUGUGCCGUGCAAUGUAAUUUUUUCCUCUAUUGUCAGCAUCAUUGUUGAUCCUGAAAUUAUAGUGUCUGAGGAGUUAUUCAACAGGAGAUGUUCGACAUGAAAAGAGUCUCAGAAAAUAACUGCAACGAGAACAUUUAAAUAAACCCAGAGAUUACAGAGGCAAAAUACAAAAAUGACUCCAAGAAGCUCAUUUGGUUUCAUUCCACUACAUUUGAGUGUUAUCUGAGAGCGGGAGAAAGAAAUCCCCAAUUGGUUCGGUACGAUGGGAGAAAAACAGGCAUCUCUCUACCCACAUCACAGCCUAUUAAUUACCCUCAGAUUACAGUGUGGGUCAGGCACGGAGCAUUCAGCUAAAUCGCUAGUCAAAAGCUUGAUCGCCUUCCCCCAUCUCUUCUCCAAGGAGAAGCUUGGCUUCUAUGGAGGACUGGAGCAGAAUUUACCUUCUGUGUCUCAGGGUAUUUGUGCUGGGUUUGGAUUUUUUCCCCCCUUUUUAGUUAAUCCCCUCCUUUUCAAGGCCUGCCUGCUGACUUCCUUGGCACACUCAUCACAGGGCACGAUCCUCAGUUCCUCCCCUCGCCCCGGAUAUCUCCAGCAGUGGGGUCUGACCCAAGGGCUCCAAGGCCAGCGUGUUGGUGAGCCUCAGCACUGGGACCACGCUUGCUGAUGCUCAGAGGAAAUCAGACCACCGCUAUUUGCGGGAAUCAUAUUUUGAGAUAAGUAAAUCUUCUAGGUUUACUUCCAAUUAUUUUUUUUUUAAACAUCAGGAUUUUAUCUUAAAAAGAAUCAAUGUUUCUCUGCCUUUGAAGAGCAGAACCCUCCUGAUAUUCAUUACUUGACUCAGCUGUUCACUCAGGUCUUUUCCUUUGAUGAGAAACUUGGAUUUACAGGCAGUAUUUAGCAUUGCGAUUAGUAUAUAAUGUGACCUAUUAUUGGAAUAAAUGGGGUGCACAGAGUUAUCUCAAGCAAAAGAGUUGACUUGGUUGUACUGAGAGGGAAAAAAAAAAAAAACAACAGCUUGACUAUCAUUAUCUAGGAUAACUGCUUAAAAAAGAAGGAAAGAAAUAAACAAAUCUGAAAUGGGCAUUUUCUUCUCCUUCACAGCAAAACAGGAUCACAUCACGACUUGUCAUGCCAGCCAGUGGCAUGUCCUACUUCCUCCAUGGCUUCCUAUCACAUUAACCACUUAAGAAAAACAAAACACGUCUAAAAGGCAUCUCAACACCAAAGAGAAGCGUUGACCAAAGCUUUUUGAGUCAUUAUCGCAGCAACACCCACGACUAGCAAUAGCUGAAGGAAUAUAUUGAUCGCAACAUCUAUAAGCCAUAAUUACAGUCAGCCUCAGCACCCCAUGGCAGCCACAACAUACACUCACCAUGCUGCUCAGUGCCAGCAGCUCAGUGGUUGGGAUUCCACCCCAAAAGUUACCCCAUGAACCAGGCAUCAACAGGCACACUGCAUCUGAGCAUGCCUGAGAAACCCUGGUGUCUUGUCAAUCGUGCAAUGAGCAGAACAGCUCAUUGUGAGCCAGCUUCAUUUCCCCAGCUCCCCAGGGGGAAACAUUUAGGGCCACUAGAAAAACAUUUAUCCAUAGGGAUCAUCACCACCAAACACUCUCCCCAUCCACCAACAGAGAACCAGCCCACCACUCUCUGAGCCAUCCUGCCCGCGGAACAUCCCCAUGGAUCAGAACAGGGAAGAUAUGGGGUUACACAUUAGCCAGAGCAGCCACAUCGAGGCCCCCAGUAAUGGGGAGGGUUAUGAGACAGCAGUCGGGCACGCUGUUAAUGUGUAACGUCUGUGCCACCUUCCCCUCACCUUCUGCUUGCCUGCUUGGUGGUGUCAGCAUUCUAUCUUCCUAUCGUCUUCUUCUUGUACUAUUCUUUCCUUCUUCUCAUUAUCUUUCUUCUCACCAUUAUCUUUCUUUUCCCAUUCUAUUUCCAUCCUACUCCGCAGAGCACUGUAAUGCCAUUGACCAGCUCCAGACGUCCAAUGGUCCCCAACUCUCCAGCACUGUGAGAACAGAUGGCUGAGGUAGGUCCUAGAAACGCAUCAGUGUACUGGGACAGCCAUUGGGUCAGAUCUACUCCUGGACCUCUGUAAAGGAGCCUGGCAGCUGCAACAUCCCCACCAUCACCAGCACAUCCUCACUGAUCUCACCUGACAGCGAUGCUCCCACCCGCUCUGUCUGGGCACCCAGAGAUGGACGCAUGAUUGACGGGACGCCCGCGAUACGCCGCCAUUCGCUCCUUAUCUGCGCCUUCCCGGUUGGCUCCCGUGUCGCUCGCGGGGUUUACAGCAUCAAUGUCAAUGUCUUUCCCUGUGUUUUUCUUUUUUUUAAGGCCUUCUUGGAGCAAAACUCGCCUUUCCCAACUGCCCAUGUGAGUGGGAACGGGUUGGCACCUAUUUUUCUUGGGAGGUCACCAAAGGUCGAAU
ensembl:lncRNA